rnacentral:rRNA from 1 species
UGGGGAAUAUUGGACAAUGGGCGCAAGCCUGAUCCAGCCAUGCCGCGUGAGUGAAGAAGGCCUUAGGGUUGUAAAACUCUUUCGCCGGGGAAGAUAAUGACGGUACCCGGAGAAGAAGCUCCGGCUAACUUCGUGCCAGCAGCCGCGGUAAUACGAAGGGAGCUAGCGUUGUUCGGAAUUACUGGGCGUAAAGCGCACGUAGGCGGACUUGUCAGUCAGGGGUGAAAUCCCAAGGCUCAACCUUGGAACUGCCUCCGAUACAGCAAGCCUAGAGAUCGGGAGAGGUGAGUGGAAUUCCUAGUGUAGAGGUGAAAUUCGUAGAUAUUAGGAAGAACACCAGUGGCGAAGGCGGCUCACUGGCCCGAUACUGACGCUGAGGUGCGAAAGCGUGGGGAGCAAACAGGAUUAGAUACCCAUGUAGUCCCUGAGCGGGCUGGCAAGGCGCAU